AGGACGAACGCUGGCGGCGUGCUUAACACAUGCAAGUCAAGGGGGCCCAGCAAUGGGCAACCGGCGAACGGGUGCGUAACACGUGAGCAACCUACCGAAAUGUGGGGGAUAGCCGGCCUAACGGCCGAGUAAUACCGCAUACGCUCUCGAUGAGGCAUUUCAUUGAGAGGAAACCUACGGGACAUUUCGAGGGGCUUGCGGCCUAUCAGCUAGUUGGCGAGGUAACGGCUCACCAAGGCAACGACGGGUAGCUGGU
rnacentral:rRNA from 1 species